UGAAGACGGGUUGUAUACUGGAGUGGAGAU
rnacentral:piRNA from 1 species